GUCGCUGUCUCUGUGGUUCAAAAGGGCCUCAGAGAGAGAGGAAAGUCCGGGCUCCUUCGGAAAGGAUGCCGGUUAACAACCGGGCAUGGUGCUGGUGACGGUGCCAUGACAGCCAGCGCAACAGAAAACAAACCGCCUUGGUUUCCAAGGUAAGGGUGAAAAGGUGGGGUAAGAGCCCACCGGGCAGACGGUAACGGAUGUCGCAUGGCAAGCCUCAUCUGGAGCAAGGCCAAGCAGUAGUUGCAAUUCCGAUAUGAAGGGGUUCCUUCACAACUACGGGUAGGCUGCUGGAGAUACGGGGAAAUCCGUAUCCUAGAUAGAUGACCAUGCCUGGUGCAGUGAGUCUGUCAUCAGGCGACAGAACCCGGCUUAUAGUAUUU
rnacentral:RNase_P_RNA from 1 species